rnacentral:rRNA from 1 species
UACGGAGGGGGCCAGCGUUGUUCGGAAUUAUUGGGCGUAAAGGGCGCGUAGGCGGCCGAAUAAGUCUGACGUGAAAUCCCCCGGCCCAACCGGGGAACUGCGUUUGAAACUGCUCGGCUCGAGUCCGGGAGAGGGUAGCGGAAUUCCCAGUGUAGCGGUGAAAUGCGUAGAUAUUGGGAGGAACACCGGUGGCGAAGGCGGCUACCUGGACCGGUACUGACGCUGAGGCGCGAAAGCUAGGGGAGCAAACAGG